rnacentral:rRNA from 1 species
AUUGAACGCUCGCGGCAUGCCUUACACAUGCAAGUCGAACGGCAGCAUGGAGAGCUUGCUCUCUGAUGGCGAGUGGCGAACGGGUGAGUAAUGCAUCGGAACGUACCGUGUAAUGGGGGAUAACGUAGCGAAAGUUACGAUAAUACCGCAUACGACCAGCGGGUGACAGCAGGGGAUCGCAAGACCUUGCGUGCUAGGAGCGGCCGAUGUCAGAUUAGCUAGUUGGUGAGGUAAAGGCUCACCAAGGCGACGAUCUGUAGCGGGUCUGAGAGGAUGAUCCGCCACACUGGGACUGAGACACGGCCCAGACUCAUACGGGAGGCAGCAGUGGGGAAUUUUGGACAAUGGGGGCAACCCUGAUCCAGCCAUGCCGCGUGAGUGAAGAAGGCCUUCGGGUUGUAAAGCUCUUUCGGCCGGGAAGAAAUCGCACAGGCUAAUACUCUGUGUGGAUGACGGUACCGGCAUAAGAAGCACCGGCUAACUACGUGCCAGCCGCCGCGGUAA